rnacentral:rRNA from 1 species
AGCUAAAGGGGUAACGGCUAAACAAUGCAAGUCGAGCGGAUGACGGGAGCUUGCUCCUUGAUUCAUCGCCAGACGGGUGAGUAAUGCCUAUGAAUCUGCCUGGUAGUGGGGGACGGGGUUUCGAAAGGAACGCUAAUACCGCUUACGUCCUACGGGAGAAAACAGGGGACCUUCAGGCCUUGCCCUAUCGCAUGAGCCUAUGUCGGAUUAGCAAGUUGGUGAGGUAAUGGCUCACCAAGGCGACGAUCCGUAACUGGUCUGAGAGGAUGAUCAUUCACACUGGAACUGAAACACAGUCCAGACUCCUACGGGAGGCAGCAGUGGGGAAUAUUGGACAAUGGGCGAAAGCCUGAUCCAGCCAUGCCCCGUGUGUGAAGAAGGUCUUCGGAUUGUAAAGCACUUUAAGUUGGGAGGAAGGGCAGUGAGUUAAUACCUUGCUGUUUUGACGUUACCGACACAAUAAGCACCGGCUAACUCUGUGCCAGCAGCCGCGGUAAUACAAAGGGUGCAAGCGUUAAUCGGAAUUACUGGGCGUAAAGCGCGCGUCCGUGGUUCGUUAAGUUGGAUGUGAAAGCCCCGGGCUCUACCUGGGAGCUGCAUUCCACCCGAGCGAGCUAAAGUAAGGUUAGGGUGGGGGAA